rnacentral:rRNA from 1 species
UGGGGAAUUGUUCACAAUGGGCGCAAGCCUGAUGACGCAACGCCGCGUGGGGGAUGAAGGUCUUCGGAUUGUAAACCCCUGUCGAAUGGGACGAAUGGCCUCUGGGCUAAUCACCAGAGGAAUGACGGUACCUCCAGAAGAAGACCCGGCCAACUACGUGCCAGCAGCCGCGGUAACACGUAGGGGGCGAGCGUUGUCCGGAUUUAUUGGGCGUAAAGAGCUCGUAGGCGGUUUGGCAAGUCGGGUGUGAAAUUUCGAGGCUCAACCUCGAAACGCCACUCGAUACUGCCAUGACUGGAGUCCGGUAGAGGAGUGCGGAAUUCCUGGUGUAGCGGUGAAAUGCGCAGAUAUCAGGAGGAACACCAACGGCGAAGGCAGCACUCUGGGCCGGUACUGACGCUGAGGAGCGAAAGCGUGGGGAGCAAAC